AUCGUAGCAUGAGCGUCCGGUCUUGCCUCGCAAGUGAAAAGGGAAUCCAGUGCGAAUCUGGAACUGACGCGCAGCGGUAAGGGGAAUGGGCGACGAUAGCAUAAUGCGGACACUGUCCUGACGGAUGGGAAGUCAUCGCCGCCGAGCCAGCCAUCAUGGCAGAGCCCCGAGUCCGAAGACCUGCCGGAAUACGUCGCAAUGU
rnacentral:ncRNA from 2 species